rnacentral:ncRNA from 2 species
AGACGUCACGUCGGGAGAGACCGGCCCCCGUUUGGGCCGGCGCCGAAGGAGCAACCGCCCCGGAAACUCUCAGGCAAAAGGACCGCGUGACAGGU